rnacentral:rRNA from 1 species
UACGUAGGGUGCAAGCGUUGCCCGGAUUUAUUGGGCGUAAAGGGCGCGUAGGCGGCUCUGCACGUCCGUUGUGAAAUCGCCCGGCUCAACUGGGCGGGGUCAGCGGAUACGGUGUGGCUCGAGCAAGCUAGGGGGCAAUGGAACUCCCGGUGUAGUGGUGGAAUGCGUAGAUAUCGGGAAGAACACCAGUGGCGAAGGCGGUUGCCUGGAGCUUUGCUGACGCUGAUGCGCGAAAGCGUGGGGAGCGAUCCGG